AUACUUACCUGGCAGGGAAGGUACCAUGAUCAUGAAGGUGGUUUUCCCAGGGUGAGGCUUAGCCAUUGCACUCCAGAUGUGCUGACCCCUGUGGUCUCCCCAAAUGUGGGAAACUCGACUGCAUCAUUUGUGGUCUUGGAGGGCUGUGUUCGUGCUGUCCACUG